rnacentral:lncRNA from 1 species
CCUCUUCCUAUUUUAGCUUACCCGCUGGCAUUUAUUUAUCGUCCACUCAUAAUACCCUAUGCAUGCUAUGCUUCAAAGAACACUCAGAGUAUUAUUUGUGCUGUUGGUGGGUUUGCUUUGCUACAGUAUGUUUUUGGCUUGUCUGCUUCUUUUCAUUUUAUGUUGGAUGUCAUUCUCGUCUAUUGUGUUUUUUUUAUUAUUUGGAAAAGGGAGAGUCUCUCUAUUACUUGGAUUAUUA